AGAGCACAAAUAAACCACAAAUGAUACAGAAGAUUAAGAUUUCUUAGGUGAUUAUCGAGUUCUGAUUGGAAGAUGAAAGACUGAGUUCAGAUUAGAAGAUGAAAGGUGAGAAAAUGGUCAUUGAAAAGGGUUUUGAAUCCAGAGGAGAAAUCCAUCUCUCCUCAAAGAGGAGAGUGAUACUAAAUGUCUAGGAUAGUUUAUAUAAAUUGUUGACCCCAAUGCUAUGACCGAUCCGGUUAGCACUUGAGAUUUCCCCCACCUGGAACAGAAUUCACGGGCGCUGUCAUAGACUCAAAGCUGAGAAGUUUCUUCUUGUAGAGAUCCAAAGCCGCAGCCUCUGUCCAUGAGAGGGUUUCUUCGUCUUGAGCAAUCCGGAUGAAGAAGGAACAUGAAGCGUCUAGGCUUGUGAGAUCAUGAGCAUCCAGAUUGUAUUCAGUCAGGAGCUGAUGGAGAAGGGAAGAAAUUGAAGACAAUGUCCCAAUUGGACUUUCACUUCCAAUCAUUGAUGCUGAUGCUCUCGUGUACCUGUCAUGUCUAU